ACUUUGUUAGCUGGAUAGAUAGAUGAGCAGGGUGUUUUCGUAAUCGAGCAUAACAUGUUUAAGGACUUAACGGUUGGAAUAACGAGACUCGGCCUCUUUCCAAUUAAUCACAUUCCAAAUAGCUUUAAAGUAUUCGGCCUUACGAUUCUCGUAUUGAGGAUAGUAGGCAUGUUCCCAAGCAUCAAUUCCAAUAAUGGGCUUGGACUUGA